GCAAACUUGGUCAUUUAGAGGAAGUAAAAGUCGUAACAAGGUUUCCGUAGGUGAACCUGCGGAAGGAUCAUUACCGAGUGAGGGCCCUCUGGGUCCAACCUCCCACCCGUGUUUAAUCGUACCUUGUUGCUUCGGCGGGCCCGCCUCACGGCCGCCGGGGGGGUUCCCCCUCUGGCCCGCGCCCGCCGAAGACACCAAUGAACGCUGUCUGAAGCUUGCAGUCUGAGCAGAUUUAGCAAAAUCGUUAAAACUUUCAACAACGGAUCUCUUGGUUCCGGCAUCGAUGAAGAACGCAGC
rnacentral:misc_RNA from 1 species